GACGAACGCUGGCGGCGUGCCUAAUACAUGCAAGUAGAACGCUGAAGGAGGAGCUUGCUUCUCUGGAUGAGUUGCGAACGGGUGAGUAACGCGUAGGUAACCUGCCUGGUAGCGGGGGAUAACUAUUGGAAACGAUAGCUAAUACCGCAUAAGAGUAGAUGUCGCAUGACAUUUGCUUAAAAGGUGCAAUUGCAUCACUACCAGAUGGACCUGCGUUGUAUUAGCUAGUUGGUGAGGUAACGGCUCACCAAGGCAACGAUACAUAGCCGACCUGAGAGGGUGGUCGGCCACACUGGGACUGAGACACGGCCCAGACGCCUACGGGAGGCAGCAGUAGGGAAUCUUCGGCAAUGGACGGAAGUCUGACCGAGCAACGCCGCGUGAGUGAAGAAGGUUUUCGGAUCGCAAAGCUCUGUUGUAAGAGAAGAACGAGUGUGAGAGUGGAAAGUUCACACUGUGACGGUAUCUUACCAGAAAGGGACGGCUAACUACGUG
rnacentral:rRNA from 1 species